UUUUUUUUUGGGUGCAAGAUUUUUUUUUCGGGUGCAAGAUUUUUUAGUGUCAUAUCACGCGAUUCGAUCGGCAGAUAAAGGUUUACCUAUUAUGUGAGAAUCAUGAUAUGAAGGGUGAUUACCGCCAAAAUUCAAUAUGCCAUUUUGACAUUCAAUUUAGCUGUUCUCGUUGGACACUCCUUCUGCUUUGUUGAAGUUCUUAACAACGGUAGUUCUUUAUAUUAUUAAUUAUAAAAGUGUAAAAUUUAAAGCGGUUUCUUGACACAUACUACACAUCCCCGUACUAGAUUAAGAUUUGCUUUACGUUCGCUAAUGCCGGGGGAGUCUGAAUAUUCAUAAUUUAACCGGACAUCC
rnacentral:lncRNA from 1 species